rnacentral:tRNA from 1 species
GGGCUUGUAGCUUAGCUAGGUAGAGCAUCCGGCUUUUAACCGGGUGGUCGGGGGUUCGAAUCCCUCCAAGCCCG